UACAGAGGUCUCAAGCGUUGUUCGGAUUCAUUGGGCGUAAAGGGUGUGUAGGUGGCGCCGUAAGUCGGGUGUGAAAUUUCGGAGCUUAACUCCGAAACUGCAUUUGAUACUGUGGUGCUUGAGGACUGGAGAGGAGACUGGAAUUCACGGUGUAGCAGUGAAAUGCGUAGAUAUCGUGAGGAAGACCAGUGGCGAAGGCGGGUCUCUGGACAGUUCCUGACACUGAGGCACGAAGGCCAGGGGAGCAAACGGG
rnacentral:rRNA from 1 species